rnacentral:lncRNA from 1 species
CAAAAUUUGAAUUUGCUCUUUGACGAGGUCUGUUUUGACACCCAUUUUGACAAAAAGCAUAUUUUUUAUCAACCUGCUGAUCGAUCUACUUUUACGAGACCAAAUACUCAGGGGUUAAGAAAUUUUGUUAUAGCUCACUAGCCCAGGGCUUAUUGGUUGCAAUAUUUUACUAGCCCUGUUGGAAGAACUACUAGCCCAACAAAACUGACCUGCUAGCCCUAGUAUGCCUUACAAAUUCAGAGUUUGCUGCAAUAACAAUGAAUUCUAUAAACUUAACAAUUUUUAUCCAUUCACGGCAUUGUACAGUAGAGUUUUGCAAAUUGGAUAUUCAAAACUUAUAUUAGCAAAAAAUAUUCCAUUAGCAUAUAUAUAUUCAAUUAAUCGAUAAUUGAAUAUUCACUGAAAAUUCUGAUAAAAUGAGUUGACCAAAUCUUGGGAUGAUACAAGUCUUGAUCACUGCUAUACGUGG